ACGGUCAUAUAACGUUGACACACCGAUUCUAAUCAGAUCGCCAAAGUUAAGCAACGUUGAACAUGGUCAGUACCUAGAAGGGUAACCACUCGGGAAUACUAUGUGCUGUAAG